AGCAUUGCCGUAUCCACCCUCCCCUCCCCAGAGCUGGCCGCCAAACAAGUCACCCUCAGAGCGGAGAGGGACAAUAGCAAGAGUGAAGGAAACCACGGGUCCAAAGGGCUCCUGCACCACCUGAACCAAAGCUGCCUACUCUGAGACCCGGAGAACGAGAUGGUGUCCUGAUUCUCACUCCGACCACUCGGAUCAGGAUCACGAUAGAAGAAGGUGCUGGACAGAGGGGGAGACAGAUGUAGACCGUCAUUCAAAAAUCAUCAAGACCCCAGUCAGGGAUCACAGGCCUGUACAGGGAGCGAUGACAUGUGUGCACCUCCAGAUGAAUCAACCAAAUGAAACCUGGAAACAAGGCUUCCAGAAGAGCUCAUGGCUCCCUUGCUGACGUCAACUCAAGCAUGUCCCCUCCCCAGGAACCUGAAAAAACCUAACGCAAGCUCCAUGACUUCCAGGCAUUUUGCCCCCUGAACCAGGCGAGGGCCAUACCUGCCCUCAGGGUCAUCUUGAUAGACCAAGAUCCAGCAGAGGACCCGUCCCAGCUGAGAUGGAGAAACAGGAUUUCCUGGUGCUGGAGUUCUGCGUUUUUCCCAGGACCUUGAAGGAAAGGUCUGACUUCCAGGGCUUCAGACAUGGAGGUCAUCUGGGAAUAUGGUUAGGAAUGCAGCCCUCCCACCUCCACCUGUUGAACCAGAAUUUGCAUCUUCACAAAUCCUCAAGCAUUGCACCUGUGCUGUAAAGCUUGAGACAAUGGAGGCAGGAGGUAGAGGGCAGGGACAGGUUGGGAGGACAGAUGUCAGGGCGGCUGAGCUGAAAUGAAAAGAUCUCACACCUGGCUGACUGCCCUGAUCCUCGGUGGUGGUUUAGAAACCAAAUCCUGAAGCUCAGCAUGCGGCCGGGAGCAACGACGGAGGUCCACAUCUCCAUGGCUUGACCCCAGACUCCAGAAUGUUCUAUAAGCAUCUCUGGCGAUGUUAGCGGGCAGUUGGCCUUGGCUACCCAGUGUGGCUGUCGCAGAACAACAACAAAGGAGCGCCUUGAACGAACACAUUUCUCUCCUCAGCACAUCUCAGCUCCGGCUCCUCGGCUCGGCUUCCUCACUCGCUUGUUGAGUCAUAUCUCAAAAGAAACCGACUCAGAUACAUCCUGCACCAAUUCUCCUUCCUUAAACAUAAGACAGACCACCCCUUCCCUAAUGGAUUAAAACUCCAAGCCUACCUACCCGCUCUCUUUGAGGCUGGCUCACAAUGACCCUGUGGCUUGGUGGGGUAAGUGGGGAGCCCACAAAGCUCAAUCCAUAUUAGGUGAGGGUUUCUUAAGCUGUGCUCUGAGCGCUAUCUGCAUUCAAACCACUUGGAGGUGGGGAGGUGUUCUUAAAUAUGCGGAUUCCGGGAAACCUACAUCAGGCCUUUGCGUCUGAACUUCCUAGUGUGGGCCCCGGGGAAUCCACAGUGUUCGCCAUCUCACCUGGUUGCUUUGAACACACACUGAUCAUUGAGACCAUUGGGUUAGCAUCCUAGAUCGGCGACCAUGGCAAGAAGCUUUUUUUAAAUGCAAUAAAUAACAAAACCAGAAACCCUAAGUCCAGGGCUCUCAGGUGGAUUCUGACUCAAAGGAGCCCUAUAAUAGGGCAUAGUGGACCUGCCCCCUUCCAAGGCUGUAAACCUUUAGGGUCGAAGUCUAUCCCAUCUGUGUCCCAUGGAAAGGCCGGUCGGUUCAAACUGACUAUCUGUUAACAGCUAAAAGCUUAACUUCUGGCCACCAGGGUUCCUUCCCUCACAGGUUCGAAUAAUGUGUGAACAGGAGAAGACACAGCUAUGCCCCAAUACAAGACAACAACAAAUCACCAUCCCCUACCUCCCAGACACUCGGGAGGCCCCAUGGGUACCCAGGGAAUGUGCCCCCCACAUGCAGAGGUCAUUUGUGAUUUGGGCUCUCUUCUGUUGGCAGGGUGGAGCCUGUCAUCUGGCCCGGACAGAAUUAUUGCCUCAAAUUACAUGGUUGAUUAUCAAUUA